rnacentral:rRNA from 1 species
AACGAACGCUGGCGGCAUGCCUAACACAUGCAAGUCGAACGAGACCUUCGGGUCUAGUGGCGCACGGGUGCGUAACGCGUGGGAACCUGCCCUUAGGUUCGGAAUAACUCCCCGAAAGGGGUGCUAAUACCGGAUAAUGUCUUCGGACCAAAGAUUUAUCGCCUUUGGAUGGGCCCGCGUUGGAUUAGCCAGUUGGUAGGGUAAAAGCCUACCAAGGCGACGAUCCAUAGCUGGUCUGAGAGGAUGAUCAGCCACACUGGGACUGAGACACGGCCCAGACUCCUACGGGAGGCAGCAGUGGGGAAUAUUGGACAAUGGGCGAAAGCCUGAUCCAGCAAUGCCGCGUGAGUGAUGAAGGCCUUAGGGUUGUAAAGCUCUUUUACCCGGGAUGAUAAUGACAGUACCGGGAGAAUAAGCUCCGGCUAACUCCG